GAUGCGAUUCAUACCAGCCCCCACUAAUGCACCGCAUUCCCAUCAGAACCUCGAAGUUAAGCUGCUGGGCCGAGAGUGAUUAGUACUAGGAUGCGCGCUGACCCCGCCGGAAGUCCUCGUGUUGCCAUCC
rnacentral:rRNA from 1 species